GAGGAACUGAAGAAGAGUAAAAGAGAGACAGACUUGAAUGUCUUGUAGACGUGCUGGUCCACGCUUCCUACCAGUGGGUGGCGGUAAUGCUCCAGCUCGUUUGUCAACCGCCACUAAACCCAAGAAGAAGAAGAAGAAGAAGAAGAAGAGGAAGAAGAAGAAGAAGAAGAAGAAGCGGUACUAGUCAGACAGUUUAUUAGUUUCGUUUCUGAGGCUGUGUUUAUCUGCUUUCUCUGGCGGUUUUUAGGUUAACAACACUGACACAUUAGGUGGAGACACAUUCAUUUGAUGAUGGAUGAUAUUAACUUAAAAUGCAACAACAUGACAGCUUUGCAGACCAACAAUCACAAAAGACAAACACAAACAGACGAAAAGAUACUUAGCAGACGGAUCUGUGUUAUAAACAGUAGAGAGGGUUAUUUAGUAUCACUGCACGCGUGUAUUAAUGUUUUAUUAUCAUGCAGCAUGAAAUACUCGACACAUUUGAUGCUCUUUAUUUGACUGUAAGACUGUUUUAUGUGACCACCGCUCAUGUUUGCGUGACGUCAUAAAACCGGGCGGCAUCGCUGUACACAAGGAGGGGUGUACAUAGCGCCCUUGUGUCACUUUUAAAAAGUGUGACAACUUUACCGCAAAGUUUCAGUGUGUUCCAGACACGAAUGAUUCAUGUGUUCCCUUGUGUUGCUUAGGAGAGGUGUGCUGUUAUUUAAAGUGACCAGACUUAUGUUUUUCGAGGAGGAAUCGGGUGAAAAGUCCCUCCGAGACAUAUCUACAGACCAGAAUAUGACAGAGACUUUAUCGUAUCAGUAAUGUGGGCUCUUCUGACCAGUAAACAACACAAACAGUUACACAGAGCUCACUAGCAGCAGUAGUGAAGCUACAGGUUUUCAGCUGUGGCCCACCCACUGCAUUCAUUUCUGUGGUCCUCGAUAUCUACUCUCUGAACGUAAAACUGAGACACUUGAUUAUGAGAUCAUCUGCGAAGCCUCAUCGUCUAAGUUUUAUGAAGGACCACCCACUUAACAUUUCUGGCAUCACCCCCUGACUAACAGAUGAUGUUAAACAGCUGGAAAUGGAGCAGAUAUCUUGAGCUGUCAACAUUUGUCUGAUCUUUACAAUGAUCACUGGAAACUUAAGAUGCAGAAAAUCCCGACUGUCGCUACAAUCAACAGAGAUCCAGCAGGAGCAGAAAUCAACACUAUCAGAGAUACAAAGUCUGGAGCAUGUGAAGGAGAGUGAAAGAGAGACAUAGGUAGAGAGAGACUGAUGCUGAGAUCAGACACACUGAUGCUGGACAAUAAACUGUUUCCUUUGUACCAGGAGAGAGUCACAUGACCCACAUUCACCACUGAACACAACAGUGAACAAUUCUGCUGUGAUGAAGAUGAUGAUGAUGAUGAUGAUGAUGAACAGUUUGAAGAGGUACUGCUGAUGUCAGGAACUGGCAGACGAGCUGAAAACAUGAGAGAAUAAGAGGAAUAUUUUCAGCAUUGUGAAUCUGUGUAAUACAUUUUGUAUUGAGUGAGUGUUUAGUGUGUUAACAGUUGCUGAAUGUGACUCUCAUCUCCAAUUAUAAAAUAAAUAAAUAUUUGACUAUUUAAAUAGAAUAUGUGAGCAUUUGAACAAAUGAUCUCUACUCACCAUAGACAGAAACGUUGAAUGUUUUAGAUGUCUGAUUCACUCCAUGUAUAUCUAGUUGAUAGACUCCAGUGUGUUGAGUUGUGAUGUUUGUGAUGGUCAGAGAUCCAGUUUGAUUGUCCAGCUUCAGUCUGACUCUGAAUCUCUCGUCAGGACCAUUAGAUGUGAUGACAAUGUGUUUCCUUUUCUUUAUUUUAGCUAUGGGAGACUUUCCAUCUCCAAAUUUCCACAGAAUGUCAUCGCCUUCAUGUAUUUCAGUAAGAUCAGUGUAUAAAGUGACAGAAUCUCCCUCCAUCACUGACACUGAUUCACCAAACACAACUGAAUAAAAAUAAAAAUAUUUUACACAGAUUAAAGCUUCUGAUGGUUUAACAAGCCUGAAAUCUGCUUCAUCCAAAUGUGAAGUUGAGAACAACCGAAACAAAAAACAAAAUGUAAAAUAUCAACGGUCUUUCAAACAGCUAUUGUAAACUACCAACUGUUACCAAAAUAGAGAGAUGGUUGCAAUGGCGCUAUUUAAUAGAUUAAUCAUAUAUGUAUAUACAUAAUGCACAAAUCUGUACAUAAUGUUUCAAAACCAGAUCUUUUCAGAGAUUUAUUUUCUCUUAGUCUUAUCUAUUUGUUUUCAUGUUAUAAAUUUACAUGUAUGUAUAUAUGUUGCUAGAGCUCCUGAAAAACCACAAUACAUAAUGAAACAUCGUAUCUCUUCAAAGUGUAGAGGACAAUCUAUGUUUAAAUUGUAAAUGAUUUUUGACAUUAUUGUAUGAUAAUUAUUACAGAUCGGAUAUUUUGGAUACUUUUUUUAAUAAAUGGGAGAUUUAGAUCAUUAGAUCACAUAUUUAUGACAUUUGCAGAUGUUCAUGAUAACUGCAGAUUUAUUUUUUAAAUCUGUAUUAUUAUUAUUAUUAUUAUAAAAAGAAAAAAAAAGUGAGAUAUUUAAAGAAGUUCAGACUUUCUGAACAUUUACACUGCAGGGAUUUCCUUUAUUUUGUUUUUAUGAACUUUUCCAGGUCCUGUAAAUGUCAAUGAAAACUUCCUAACCCUAAUCCCAACAGUGUCUUGUAUUAUAUUCAUACACAAUUCACAAUUAUUUUGGUACAUAACAUUUUAUUAUCUUUAAUAUUCCAAAAUAUAAGAAAAAAAAACCUUGACAUUAUUUUUUUUUUAACUUACCAGUCAGACUCCAGCAGCACAAACAGAACAAGACAAACUUGUGAAACAUUUUCUUCAGUGGUUCAGUGUGUGAUCUAACAGCAGAACUGUUAAAGUGUUGUGUGAAUCCUCCCCUGACUGUGUUCGACCCUCCUAGUUCACAUCCUGCAUUUGAUAAGUGUUGGGCUCAUUACUCAAAAAAAAAAAUAUAUAUAUUACUCAUUACUAGUUACUAAUUUCAAAAGUAAUAUUAUUACGUAUUACUCCCAGCCAACAGUCUGGGGCACCGCUAUGGUUUCUGGACCCCCUGAACAGCAUAUUCACUCAGCCCUCUCCAUCGUCAGGCGGAGGCCUGGAAUCAUCCUAACCUUACACCCCCCAACCCCCCUCCACCCCCUUUACAGCGCCCCGUUAACAGUAAUUAGUUACACAUCCAGUUACAUUACCUUUCCAUUCCAUUCCAAAAAAAAAUGGAAAUUGCAUAAUUUUUGCAGUCAGUGGAUCCAUGAAAUUUGCAGAUAAAUGAAGAGUACAUCUGGCUCAAACUGAUGGCAAGCCACAUAUUUUUAAGCUUCUGUUCCUCUGGGAAUCGCAACCUUAUCUUGUGGAGGGGUUUGAGUACCCGAAUGAUCCUAAGAGCUAUGUUGUCAGGGGUUAUAUGCCCACGGUAGGGUCUCCCAAGGCAAACAGGUCCUAGAUGACGGGUCAGACUAAGAGCAGUUCAGAAGCCCAUUAUGAAUUCUUAAAAAACGAGGACUGUGACGUCACGGCUGGGAGCUUGAAUACGAAUGCCUGGUGGCCGGGCCUCCCCUCAUGGGAGCUUGUGUGGGAGGUUGAGAGGUACCUACUGAAGAUAGUCGGCCUCACCUCCAUGCACAGCUUAGGUUCUUGAACCAAGUCCCUUGAGAUAGGCUGAACUCUCUACCACUCUGGAGAUGUCUGUGCUGAGAGGCGGCGGGUUGGUGUGGGGUUGCUCAUAGCUCCCCAGCUCGGUCGCCAUGUGUUUGAGUUUACCCCGGUGAACGAAAGGGUUGCUUCCUUGCACCUUUGGGUCGGGGAUAGGUCUCUCACUCUCAUUUGUGCUUAUGGGCCGAAUAGUAGUGUAGAGUACCCAGCCUUCUUGGAGUCUCUGGGAGGGGUGCUGCAAAGUGCACUGACCGGGGACUCUGUCAUUCUACUGGGAGACUUCAACCCUGACAUGGGCAGUGACAGGAACACCUGAAGGGGCAUGAUUGGGAGGAGUGGCCAUAAAAAAUAUAUGCUGCCCUGCCAGCACUAUUUGCAGUGGAGGUGGGGAGCUGUUGACCUCAAAGGGAUGUUGUGGGGGAGGUGGGGAGCUGUUGACAUCAAAGGGAUGUUGUGGGGCUGUCUUGGCUGACACGCCUCUGUAGCAUCGCGUGACAGUUGGGGACAGUGACUCUGGAAUGGCAGACCGGGGUGUCGGUCUCUAUUUUCAAGAAGGGGGACCGGAGGGUGUGUUACACCUACAGGGCGGUCACACUCCUCAGCCUUCCUGGGAAAGUCAAUGCCAGGGUGCUGGAGAGGAGAAUUUGGCCGAUAAUUGAACUUUGCAUUCAGGAGGAACAAUGCGUUUUUUGUCCUGGGCCAGCUUUAUACCCUCGUCGGGGUGCUUGAGGGUUCAUGGCAGUUUGCCCAACCAAUCCACAUGUGUUUUGUGGAUUUGGAAAAGGCAUUCAACCUUAUCCCAGCAGAAAGUAAGACUUGUUCCUGGUACAUGUUGGACUCCGGCAGGGCUGCCCUUUAUCACCGACCCCUGGCUGCGCCUAGAAAUCCUGUCCAUAAAAAUAAUGAACAGGUUUUUUUAGCGCAGCCAGGGGCUAGAGGGCCUGUUUUGGGGACCACGUGAUUUCAUCUCCGCUUUUUGCAGAUGAUGUUUUCAUGUUGGCUUCAUUAGGCCAGGACCUUCAGCAUGUGCUGGGACGGUUUGCAGCUGAAUGUGAAGCGACUGGUAUUAGAAUAAGCACCUCCAAGUCCAAGACCAUGGAUCUCAGCUGGAAAAGGGUGGCCUGUCCCCUUCAGGUUGGUGGAGAGCUUCUGCCUCAAGUGAAGGAGUUCAAGUAUCUUGGGGACUUGUUCAAGAGUGAGGGAAGGAUGGAGCGGGAGAUUGACAGGCAGAUAGUUGCAGCUUCUGCAGUGAUGUGGUCGAUGUACCUGUCUGUCGUGGUAAAGAAGGAUCUGAGCUGCAAGGCAAAGCUCUCGAUUUACCGGUCGAACUACGUUCCUACUCUCACCUGUGGUCAUGAGUUUUGGGUCAUGACCGAAAGGACAAGAUUCCGGAUACAGGCGACUGAAAAGAGCUUUCUUUAUAGGGUGGCUGGGCACUCCAUUAGAGAUAAGGUGAGGAGCUCGGCCACCCAGGAGGAGCUCAGAGUAGAGCUGCUGCUCAUCCACAUCGAGAGGAGCCAGCUGAGGUGGCUCGGGCAUCUGUUCCGGAUACCUCCUAGAUGCCUUCUUGGGGAGGUGUUCCAGGCACGUCCUACUGGGAGGAGACCCCAGGGCUAGAACGAGGACACGCUGGAGGGACUAUGUCUCUUGACUAGCCUGGGAAAGCCUCGUUAUCCCCCCGAAAGAGCUGGAGGAAGUGUGUAGGGAGAGGGAAGUCUGGGCAUCUCUGCUUAGACUGAUGCCCCUGUGACCCGGUCCCGGAUAAGCUGAAGAAGAUGGAUGGAUGGGUGUUUUUAAAAAAAAGCAGUAACAUAGUAAAAUUUGAUAAAAUAAGGUAGAACCCACUUAAAAAUUUGGUACCACUACACAAUUUGUGACAUUGAUGUUUUUGUCAUCUUUUCUCCCAACAAAAUUGAAAUAAUGACUGUAUUUCCAGGCACUAUAUGACGUGGGCUUCUCCAUCUUCCAGUUAAGCUAACUUGGUGCAUUGGUGCAGCCAAGUGUGAAGCGGCUGGGAUGAAAAUCAGUUGCAUUAUAGCAUUUUUGACACACUGUUUUCCUAAUUAAUGUUGUUCAGUUGUUUUGACACAAUCUGUUUUGUUUAAAGUGCUAUAUAAAUAAAGGUGACUUGACUUGACUGGUGACAUCAUGUGCAAGACAAUGAUUAAGAAAACUGAUUUUUGACAUUUGACAUUCGACAUUUAUUUAUUUUAAGUGGUAACUGUAAUAUUAUUACUUAAAUUGUAUUAGUAAUUAGUUGCACUACAAGUUACCAGGGAAAGUAAUUUUAUUACUGUAUUGCAUUACUAGUAACUAAUUACUGCACAGCAUUUCAUAUGAUAUAAUGUCAUAGUUCAUCUUAAGAUUUUUACUGGUUUUAAUGGAUAACAACAUACUUAUUUUUAUGAAAAGCUUAAGGGUUAUAUUAGGAGGAUUCAUAUUACUGUGACAGCUUUUCACAGAGAGUAAAGUUACCUGACUGUUUCAAAUAGCUACAAGUAGAAGAUGUUUGUGUUAACUGUGAAGUGGUGAAAUUAUACAAAAUAUCUUCAUGGAACAUGGUCUCAGAAGUUUUAGCUCAAAAUACCCCACAGGUCAUUUAUUAUGUAUUGCUAAAAAUGCCUAUUUUGAGUGGAAGCAGAAACAGGCUUUUUUUGUGCAUGUCCCUGUAAAUGCAAAUGAGCUGCUUCUCCCCACCCCCUUUUCCAGUAAUAUGGCUAUGCCUUACAGCUGGUACCUUAGAUAAUUUGCCAAAAAAAGAAAUACAAAUAAAUAAUAAUGAAAAAAACAUAUCUUGGUUUUGAUUAUUAAUCUAUCACACUGAAGUCAUGCAUUUUUAAUCCACAUCAUUUUAAGCUUCUGAAGCACAUGCACAGAAAGCGGCUGCCACUCGGAAUGUGAGCAGCUUAAUAUUCAGUAAAUAAAUCCACUGCUCUCUUGUCUCCUCUCAGGCUAGGACUUUAAACACUGUUAUGUGCUCGUCAGUGCAACCAAAGACAGAACAGUUAGCAACUUAGCAUGCUUUGCUCGAACUUUCGCCAUUUCAUUAGAACUGGUACACUGUUGUCACUUGUGAAAACAGAAUUGUGGUACAGUGGGGGGAAAUAUUCCUAUAAGAUCUGCUGACCACAUCAUGUGGCAGGGGUAGCAAAAUAUAAGUGGCAAAAUGCAUAACAUUGCUCUUGUCACUUUUAUAAAUUUAUGUUUUUGAAUCAUUUGUUUUGUUUCCAAAGCUUACUUUUAAAAGUAAUGCAUUACAAUAUUGCGUUACUCCCUAAAAAAGUAAUACUAAAGUAAUACUAAUAUUUUUACGUUACGUUACUUUUGAGUUACUUUCAUGUUACUUUUUAAAUAUAAGCAGGGCUUGAUUGUCUCUAAUAUAAGAAUUUAUAUUUAUAGCAAAUAUAAAAACCCUGUCACACCAAAAAGUGUAAUGAAUAAACCUCAGACUAAAUGAAAAAGUAAAUUCAUAUCUGUAGAGUAGAACACAGGAGAAGAGGAUUCAACACUCUUUAGCAAUAAAAUUUCUUUUUGAGAGUGGGAUGAAUUAAUGCAUAUUCACAUUUAGUCUAAAACUACAUCAUGUUGACACAGCACACACAACGCCUCUGUACUACCGAUUUCUCAAAGUAUGUGGACAAGAGACUUGUCAGUCAUUAAACAGGAAAACACUUUACUAGUUAUUUGAAAAAAAGUAAUCUGAUUACAUAACUAACCCCAACACUGGAUACAAUAGCAUUCAUAUC